CUACGGGAGGCAGCAGUAAGGGAUAUUGGUCAAUGGGCGCAAGCCUGACCCAGCAACGCCGCGUGAAGGAUGAAGUUUUUCGGAAUGUAAACUUCGUAAGAAUAGGAAGAAUUAAUGACGGUACUAUUUAUAAGGUCCGGCUAACUACGUGCCAGCAGCCGCGGUAAUACGUAGGGACCAAGCGUUGUUCGGAUUUACUGGGCGUAAAGGGCGCGUAGGCGGCAUGGUAAGUCACUUGUGAAAUCUCCGAGCUUAACUCGGAACGGCCAAGUGAUACUGCUGAGCUAGAGUGCAGAAGGGGCAAUCGGAAUUCUUGGUGUAGCGGUGAAAUGCGUAGAUAUCAAGAGGAACACCUGAGGUGAAGACGGGUUGCUGGGCUGACACUGACGCUGAGGCGCGAAAGCUAGGGGAGCAAACGGGAUUAGAAACCCUAGUAGUCC
rnacentral:rRNA from 1 species